rnacentral:tRNA from 1 species
GGAGAGGUGGCCGAGUGGCUGAAGGCGCAUGACUCGAAAUCAUGUAUGCCCGCAAGGGCAUCGUGAGUUCAAAUCUCACCCUCUCCGCCU